AGCCCUUGUUAACCUCAAAGGUGUGACCUGCCCAAUGGUUUUAAAGUAAAAAAUAAUAAUCUAUUUUAAUAAAACUUAAAGGACGCAGUAUCCUGACUGUGAUAAUGUAGCAUAAUCACUCGCCACUUAAUUGGUGGAUAGUAUGAAUGGUUAAACGAAUAUUACACUGUCUCCUAAAGAAAACCCAUAAAACUAGAAUAAUAGUAAAGAUACUAUUUAAAACUGUAAGACGAAAAGACCCUAUAGAGCUUGACUAUAAUCUAUAUUAAUAAAAAAGAAUGAAACCUCUAAAAUUAUAUAGAUUGGUAGUUUAGUUGGGGCGACUGUCUUUUAAAAUAAACAAAGACAAGCAAUGUUAAUAUUAAACUUAUUGUAUAAAAAAUAAAUUUAACAAUUAUAAUAAUAGGCUAUAAUGACCCAUUAAUAUUAAGAAGAAAAAUUAAUGAUUAAUAAAUAAAAGCUACCUUAGGGAUAACAGGAUAAUUUUACUCUAGAGAUCUUAUCGAAAGUAAAGUUUGUCACCUCUAUGUUGAAUUGAGAUAUCCUAAUAGUGCAGAAGCUAUUAAAGGUAGGUCUGUUCGACCUUUAAAAUCUU
rnacentral:rRNA from 1 species